rnacentral:rRNA from 1 species
AACGAACGCUGGCGGCGCGCCUAAUACAUGCAAGUCGAACGAGAAGCUGUAGCAAUACAGUUGUACAGUGGCGAACGGGUGAGGAAUACAUGGGUGACCUACCCUCGAGUGGGGAAUAACCAGCCGAAAGGUUGGCUAAUACCGCGUACGCUUCCCAGUCUACGGGUUGGGAAGGAAAGCGAUGCCGUGGGUAUCGCGCUCAAGGUUGGGCUCAUGUCCUAUCAGCUUGNGGUUGGGGUAACGGGCUCACCAAGGCAACGACGGGUAGCUGGUCUGAGAGGACGAUCAGCCACACUGGCACUGCGACACGGGCCAGACUCCUACGGGAGGCAGCAGUAAGGAAUAUUGCGCAAUGGGCGAAAGCCUGACGCAGCGACGCCGCGUGGGGGAGUGAA